rnacentral:rRNA from 1 species
UACAGAGGGUGCGAGCGUUUAAUCGGAAUUACUGGGCGUAAAGCGUGCGUAGACGGUUAUGUAAGUCAGGUGUGAAAGCCCCGGGCUCAACCUGGGAAUUGCAUUUGAGACUGAAUAGCUAGGGUACGGUAGAGGGAAGUGGAAUUUCCGGUGUAGCGGUGAAAUGCGUAGAUAUCGGAAGGAACAUCAGUGGCGAAAGCGACUUCCUGGACCAGUACCGACGUUCAGGCACGAAAGCGUGGGGAGCAAACAGGA